rnacentral:rRNA from 1 species
UACGUAGGGUGCGAGCGUUAAUCGGAAUUACUGGGCGUAAAGCGUGCGCAGGCGGUUCGGAAAGAAAGAUGUGAAAUCCCAGGGCUUAACCUUGGAACUGCAUUUUUAACUGCCGAGCUAGAGUAGGUCAGAGGGGGGUAGAAUUCCACGUGUAGGCAGUGAAAUGCGUAGAGAUGUGGAGGAAUACCGAUGGCGAAGGCAGCCCCCUGGGAUCAUACUGACGCUCAUGCACGAAAGCGUGGGGAGCAAACAGG